rnacentral:misc_RNA from 1 species
GGAAGUAAAGGUCGUAACAAGGUUUCCGUAGGUGAACCUGCGGAAGGAUCAUUAAAGAGUAAGGGUCUUCGGGCCCGAUCUCCAACCCUUUGUUUAACUACCAUGUUGCUUUGGCGGGCCCGUCUCACGACCGCCGGAAGUUUGGCUUCGACCAAACUUCUGGCCCGUGCCCGUCAGUGGCCCCUUCAAAUUCUUGAUCAAGUAUGAUGUCUUAGUUAAAAACUUAAUAGUUAAAACUUUCAACAACGGACCUCUUGGUUCUG